rnacentral:rRNA from 1 species
CCUACGGGCGGCAGCAGUGAGGAAUAUUGGUCAAUGGACGAGAGUCUGAACCAGCCAAGUAGCGUGAAGGAUGACUGCCCUAUGGGUUGUAAACUUCUUUUAUAUGGGAAUAAAACGUUCCACGUGUGGGAUUUUGUAUGUACCAUAUGAAUAAGGAUCGGCUAACUCAGUGCCAGCAGCCGCGGUAAUACGGAGGAUCCGAGCGUUAUCCGGAUUUAUUGGGUGUAAAGGGAGCGUAGGUGGAUUGUUAAGUCAGUUGUGAAAGUUUGCGGCUCAACCGUAAAAUUGCAGUUGAAACUGGCAGUCUUGAGUACAGUAGAGGUGGGCGGAAUUCGUGGUGUAGCGGUGAAAUGCUUAGAUAUCACGAAGAACUCCGAUUGCGAAGGCAGUUCACUGGACUGCAACUGACACUGAGGCUCGAAAGUGUGGGUAUCAAACAGGAUUAGAUACCCGAGUAGUC